rnacentral:rRNA from 1 species
UACGUAGGGUGCAAGCGUUAAUCGGAAUUACUGGGCGUAAAGCGCGCGUAGGCGGUUACUCAAGUCGGAUGUGAAAGCCCUCGGCUUAACUGAGGAAGUGCACCCGAAACUGAGUAGCUAGAGUACUAAAGAGGGUCGCGGAAUUCCCGGUGUAGAGGUGAAAUUCGUAGAUAUCGGGAGGAACACCGGUGGCGAAGGCGGCGACCUGGGUAGAUACUGACGCUGAGGCGCGAAAGCGUGGGGAGCAAACAGG